UACGGGGGGAGCAAGCGUUGUUCGGAUUUACUGGGCGUAAAGGGCGCGUAGGCGGCCACCGCAAGUCGACUGUGAAAUCUCCGGGCUUAACCCGGAAAGGUCAGCCGAUACUGCGGGGCUAGAGUGCAGAAGGGGCAACUGGAAUUCUCGGUGUAGCGGUGAAAUGCGUAGAUAUCGAGAGGAACACCUGCGGCGAAGGCGGGUUGCUGGGCUGACACUGACGCUGAUGCGCGAAAGCGAGGGGAGCGAACGGG
rnacentral:rRNA from 1 species